AAUGCAUCUGAAACCCACUUGGAGAUUCUCUGUGUGGAGACAGCCUGCCCUUUAAUUCAUUCAGCUAUAGUGAUAAACUGUCUAGAUGACUUCCUGAAUGGUCUUGUCCUCUGCAGGUAGAAGGCUAAGGCCCUGCAGACACUGAGGGAGUAAAUAUACCGCCCUAAGACAUGAGGCUUCAGAAAGAAAGCUGUGCAUGAGAGGACACUAGCAGCUUCAACUCAGACCAUGCGGCCGUGAUAGAGAAUUGAGGGUGCGGUUGGUCUGCACUGCCCGUUAUCACCUCGGACGAGACCAUGAGGCAAAGCAAGGCAGCGUGUGUGGACCAACAGAAUCUACUACCAUUAAAAGCUCUGGCUCUGGGUAUAUAGCGCAUGUGUUUAACCCUCAGUGGAAUACAAUAGGGACCAUCACUCAAAGAAGAGCUUGUAGUUAAAACACUGCACUGGGACUUGUAAGAUUUGGGUUCAGUUCCCAGCCCUGCCACAUAAUUCCUGUACAACUCUUGUGCCUCAGUUCCCCAUCUGUAUAAUGGGGAUAAAAUACCAUCCUUCUUACAUCUUUUGUCUAUCUUGUCUAUGUACAUGGUAAAUUCUUCAGGGCAUGCACUGUCCCUUAUGUUUGUGCAGUGCCUAGGACACUGAGGCCACUCAGCUGGGCCAUGUGUACAAACAGGUAUGGAUGAAUAACAGCAACAGAAAAAAUUAUUGCUGAUUUAUACUCCGUGCACACCCAUGAACUGCAGUGAGACUCCGUGGCUUUGUAGGUUAAAAUUUUGCCUCUCAGCUAGAUAUGCUCAACUCCUGUUGACUUAAUGGGGGUUGUGCGCACAUAUCUAUGGGGAGAAUUUGACCCCUCACUAAAUCAACAGAGAAUCAGGAUCAAAGAGCGAAGCUACAAACAACUCAUAUGCAGGAAAUGUUAAGAACUAGCUGGAGGAACCUGAAAAGAGAAAGUAGCUGACAACCGACUAUGUUAAGGAGUAGUCAGUAAACCCGAAUUAAAUUGUAGGUGUGGUCACAAUUAAUAGACAAUAGGGAAGAAGAGGUUUAACAGGCAAUAAGACACAAUUGUAUUCUUUAAUGCACAUCUUGGGAGCAUAUUGAGGCAUAAGGCAAAGUUGAUUAUUUCCAGCACCCUGGAGAAUUGCAAAAUCAUUAAUCAGCAUUAUCCUGCUGCACUGUAGUCUAGACUAAAUGCUCCUGUUGGGAUUAGAGGUUGGGGUCUUGAAAGAAAAGGAAAGUAUUGUAUUUGUGUGUGUGUGUGCGCGCGUGCACGCAUAUACAUAUAUAUAAAUGCCUACUUAUAAGUAAGUCUCUUUUGACAUUAGUGAUAGCAUAUGAGUGGUGCGGACAGAACUGGAAAGGAUGAGCAGCUCUGUCUCACUUGAGCUGAGGAGACAAUGAUGGUUUUAGUACUGAGAGGGAUUUAAUCACAUACACUACGCAAACUAAUGCAUUAUGAAACACCCAGAGGCACUCUGCAAGUUUCAAUUUUAAAAGGGAAAGAAAUUCUCCCUCAGCAGUAAUAGGAACAGAAACAUUAUCAGAUUGAAGUGUCAACAUGACUGAGUUUUGGGGCCAGAUUCUCAAGAGUGCUCAGCAGCUCCAGGUGGGCCACAAAAUGCUCAGAGAGAGUCAGUCAUAAAUUGGAGUCAGAAAGAAGGUUUUAGGGUGAGACUGAAAGAGACUCAGUGGCUUGGAGGGAGAUAGUUCAGGUUGGAUAGGGCAGUAAAUCUGAGAACUCGUCUUCUGCCAGGGAACAGGUGAUGCUAAGACAGAAGCAUGGGAUGGGUGUGUCUGAAAUACAAAUCAGGACACUGCUCUAUGCCUUAGAAGUUGAUAAACCCAGUACACUUAUUUUCUGCCCCUCAUGCUUUCGCCUCUUGGAAAGUUUCCCUUCUCUUUUAACUUGGUCUAAAGUAAGAGGCAAAACAGUGAUGAUGACAAUAAUGAGUUUUACAUAGUAAUACAGAAGAACAGUCUCUCAGCCUCAGGGGAGUACAGGAUUCAGAACGAGGAAAUCCUAAAGUGUUUAGUCCCAAAUCUAACACAGAUUUAUUGUGAAAAUCAUAUAUAUGUCAGGGGACUGUUGGCCCUUUACUGAAACUUAGUGGGAUUUUGAGUUGACUUGGGUUUGAUACUCUCCCAGUACCAAAGGAAAGGGGAAGGGCUGAUGAGAAAUCAAGAUCCUGAGAUUGAUAAUCCCCAAGGCAAAUGGGAAGGGGCCAAUGCUCCAGGUCAGGCCGAUUGACAGGGCAAGCAGACCAAUAAGGGAGUCAGGAGCCUGGGGUCCCAUUCUCUGUGUGAGCUGGUGCUGCCUGAGCCAGAGCGGGCAAAGCUAAGGAGAGAGCAGUGGAGCCGAGCUGGGAGCAGAGCUGCAGCAGCCAAGCCAGAGGGUCCAGAAAGCAGAGCUUAGCUGGGAGCAGAAGGAACUGGGCCGCAGCAGCCAGGGAGCAGAGCAGAACUGGGAACAGAACAGCAGCAGCCAGAGCCAGAGGGUCCAGAGAAGCAGCCCAGCGAGCAGAGCUGAGCUGGAAGCUGAGCCGCAGCAGCCAGAGAGGAUAGAGAAGCAGCCCAUACAGCAGAGCAACAGUGCUGAGACAGUGUGGAGUUGUAUCUGGAGAAGUCCAGAACUGAGCACAGUGAAAGACUGAGGAGAGUGAAAGGGAACCCUGGGCAGCGAGGUCCCAGCGCAGGGAGUUGCCACCAGCCAAGAGGGCUUGCAGCCAGACUUGGAGGAGAUCGUAAGCCCAACGGGGGUGAGGAGGGGGAAGGCGAUGCUGGGAAGAAAGGCCCUGCCCCCUAGAGCCUGAGGACGUGCAGCCACUGUCAGAGCCAGCAUCCGACCUGCCGUAUCACCACAGCACAGCCAAGCAAGGGCCUGGGACAUGCAAGGAACAGACUAUGAACUUUCCUUACGUUUCAGAGACGGCUGCUUGUGGUGGCCCCAUGCCCACAGAGCAGGGUUACUUGUUUUCUUUAAUCUUUCCCAUUUUUUCCUUAUUUUUUUAGUAGUUGCUGUUUAAUAAAUUGUAUUUGCUUUGAACUAUACGCAAUGAUCAGUGGGUCAGGGAAGUGUCCGGGGAGGAGAGAGCACCCCGGAGUGGGGACACUCUAGCCCCUCUCCUAAGUGACCACAACAGCUCAGGGGGUCAAGCUCCCCAGGAAUCCUGGACCCAGCCUUGUCAGGGUUACAAGGACUCUGCUUCAUGGGAGGGAGGAAGGGGAGUCCUUGAGGUCAGGUAGGUCUCUGGGUAAAGGGAGUGGGAACGAGGACUCAAAUCCUUUCACUAGUCAAAUCCACUGGGGUAGUGUAUAAACCAGGAAAGUUCCUCACAAUACUGGGACCAUACCCCCGCUUACAUAUAGCACUCUGCCUUAAUCUCCCCACCUGUAAACUGACCUACCUCACGGGAACCCUCCUGGAUUAAAUAAGGUUUGUGAAAAUGAAACAUGCUGAAUAUUAAUAUAGUAUAUCACACGUGGGAUUAUGCAGUGUUUGCAGUGUAAAAAGAGAGAGAAGGACCAUUUUGGAGAUGUUUACAGAUACCCCAGUUACAUUUCGCAGUUUAUUGGCCAUGUGGUGAUCUCAUUUAAAUAAUCAGAACUAUAAUACAGUAUAACUGCUAAUUUAGAGCAUUAGGUCAACUCUCUGCUCCAAACAGUGAAACUAUGAAAAAAUUGCUUUCACCAACUGCACGAAUAAUGUACAUUCUGUGACCAGAUCUGGCAAUUUAUUGGUCACUCAAGUCAUCCCUCCUCCACCAGUGCUUGUAAUAAUCUAAUUUAGAUAUGGUUCAGCUGUGUAACAACACCCCAGAAACACUGCCUCAUCUUUUGGGUUGCCUUUUCCUCCUCUUAUCUCCUUAUCAAUUCUCUUUCUCUGAAUUUGUUAGGUUUUUUGUUAUAGUACAAGCAUUUCAGAACUAUGUCGCAGAACCAUGCAAUCCACUAAUUAUGAAUCUGCAGUAAAGGAAAACCUAACUAUA